rnacentral:lncRNA from 1 species
GUGCGGCAUCUCUCUGAACCCCCUCGAUCGUCCGAGCUUCCAUAAUACCAUCUGGAUUUCUCCGACAAUGAGCUUCUCCACUCAUCUACCAGGCCCUUCCAAAGGCUCUCUGGGCUUCACUAUCAGCUGAUCUUCUACAAUGAACAACUAUUCUUCGAAUCCCUUCCAGACUUCUUCCGACCACGGACGACCCUACUCCAAACUUCUUCCAGACUUCGUCAAUAUCCG